CUCGCUUCUCGGCCUUUUGGCUAAGAUCAACUUUAGUAUCUGUUCUUAUCAGUUCAUGCUGGUGGCCUGAAAUGCUGGUAUUGGGCUGGUGGGGAUGGGUGCUACAUGGAGGUGACAGGUGUACCAGGGCUUUCUGGGACUGAUUCUGAGGAAUCAGCUCGAUGGCUGCCCCGAGGUGAUGAAACACACU